CGGUACCUGAAGAAAAAGCAUCGGCUAACUCCGUGCCAGCAGCCGCGGUAAUACGGAGGAUGCAAGCGUUAUCCGGAAUCAUUGGGCGUAAAGGGUCCGCAGGUGGCGAAUAAAGUCUGCUGUUAAAGACCGGGGCUUAACUCCGGAAAGGCAGUGGAAACUGAUUAGCUAGAGUAAGGUAGGGGUAGAGGGAAUUCCCAGUGUAGCGGUGAAAUGCGUAGAUAUUGGGAAGAACACCGGUGGCGAAAGCGCUCUACUAGGCCGAAACUGACACUGAGGGACGAAAGCUAGGGUAGCGAAAGGGAUUAGAUACCCCUGUAGUCUUAGCGGUAAACGGUGGAUACUAGGUGUAGCUUGUAUCGACCCGAGCUGUGCCGAAGCUAACGCGAUAAGUAUCCCGCCUGGGGAGUACGCACGCAAGUGUGAAACUCAAAGGAAUUGACGGGGGCCCGCACAAGCGGUGGAGUAUGUGGUUUAAUUCGAUGCAACGCGAAGAACCUUACCAGGGCUUGACAUGUCGCGAAUCUAGCGGAAACGUUAGAGUGCCUUAGGGAAUGCGAACACAGGUGGUGCAUGGCUGUCGUCAGCUCGUGUCGUGAGAUGUUGGGUUAAGUCCCGCAACGAGCGCAACCCUCGUCCUUAGUUGCCAAUAUUAAGUUAGGCACUCUAGGGAGACUGCCGGGGACAACUCGGAGGAAGGUGGGGAUGACGUCAAGUCAGCAUGCCCCUUACGUCCUGGGCUACACACGUACUACAAUGGUUGGGACAAAGGGCAGCAAGCUCGCGAGAGUAAGCGAAUCUCAUCAAGCCCAGCCACAGUUCAGAUUGCAGGCUGCAACUCGCCUGCAUGAAGUAGGAAUCGCUAGUAAUCGCAGGUCAGCAUACUGCGGUGAAUUCGUUCCCGGGCCUUGUACACACCGCCCGUCACACCAUGGAAGCUGGCUACGCCCGAAGUCGUUACCCUAACCCGGUUUUGGGAGGGGGAUGCCGAAGGUAGAGCUAGUGACUGGGGUGAAGUCGUAACAAGGUAGCCGUACCGGAAGGUGUGGCUGGAUCACCUCCUUU
rnacentral:rRNA from 1 species